GGUACCUUACCCAGGAGUGGAAAGACAGUAACCUAACUGCUCCCUACCAAUUUAGUUAGGGAUUCGUUCUAACUAUUAUUUGAAGUGCCUAGAAAUUAAUGUAACAUUUCCUGUGCUAAUUUGCAUUGCCUGCGGGCUGGAAGCGCCCCCUGUGAGGGCCACAGAGUUAGGUAGGGAGCUGUAUCCAGGGCAACUCCAUACAAACUUAACGCAGGAGCAGCCCUUGUAGAGUGGUGCUGACAUUGGGAUUAGGAUCUGUUCUAUGAGACCGUGACCAGCUGAUAAAUUGAAGUGGUAAUUUGGGAUUUAACCAAACAGAGCAGUAAAUGUAUCAGAAUGAUGAAAAUCCAAGACGAGAAAAGACUGGAGGAACCAUACAAGUUGAAGUAAGAAAAAGAAAAGAAUAAUUGUUUCAACAUUCAAAUUUCUUCAUGGCUUGUACAAUGCAAAAUUUUUCCAAGUUUAGGAAGUAUAUGAGAACUAGAGAUUAGAAAAUGGAUGUGAAGUCCCCAAACAUCUCUGCAUCAACUAACUCCAAAACCCAGCACAGGAAGAAGGUGAGAAGACCCUGAGUCUGGAGAGAUUGGACUACAAAGCAAAAUGAACUGUUAUACAGACUUAGGUGGAAAGUAUACUCUCCUACCAAAAAAACCAGUUGUUUUCCUAUUUCUUUCUGCACUUAAUCCUAUCUUCAAUGUGCCCUUUUAAUUGACUUUAACACAAAUAUUAUGAAUAUGAAUUACAAGACAAUAUUAAAGGUAAAAGAAAACUUAAAAUGACAAGCUAAACUGUUUCACCGAAAUGUAUUUGCAUGUGUCCAAACCUUACUCAUAUAUCAACAUCUAAUUUAGAUAAACCUCCAUUGAGGCCUUCCCAGUCCUUUCUUCUUAGAAUAAGUCUCUUUCUCCGAGCUUCAGAUGCAUCAGUGAAAAGAGGAAAAGACCCCUGCCUUAUGGAGCUGAGAUUCUAACAAGGAGAAACAACAAUAAAUAGAAUACACAAAAAAAAUCACGUAGCAUUUAAAAGGUGAUAGAUUCUUUGGAACAUGAAAUGUAGAGCAGAGUAACGGGAUGGGAGUGUAGGGGGUUGCAACCUGUAAUGCAGUGGUUAAGAUAGGGUUUACUUAGAGGUGACAUCUGAGCAAAGACUUGAAGGAGGUGAGGGCAUUAGUAACAUAGAUCUGUGGCGAAGACCUAGAACAAAGAACUAGAAACGCGCCUGGUGCUGUUGAGGGAC
rnacentral:lncRNA from 1 species